CCUGGGGUCCUUGUCUUUCGAGCAGGACUGGAGUAUCAUCUGUCCUUUCCUUCUAAGGCCAGAGGAGGAAGACAUGCUGUGGGCUCUCACCAUCCUUCUAGCUUUCCUGGCUCCUGCCACUCAGGUAUCUUCCAACUUGGAAGGGACACAGAUCUCGGUCACCAGACAGGCUGGUUUAGCUGUUGAAAUCACCUGUGAUAUUAAACAAAGCAGCGGCAUCAUCCACUGGUACCGAUACCAGGAGGGGACAGCCCCACAACGCCUUCUCUACUACCAGUUCUCCAGCUCAAAGUUUGUGGUGGACUCGGGGUUCAGUUCACAGAAAUACUAUGCUUCUAAAGACACAGGGGGGACCUGUAAACUUUUAAUCAAAUCUCUGCAAGAGAGCGAUUCUGGUGUGUAUUGCUGUGCUGUCUGGUCAAACUGGAUGAAGAUAUUUGGAAAAGGGACUAAGCUCAUAGUAACUCCCUCUGAUGGCAGCCUUCCUGCAGCCAUUCCCCCCAAGCCCACCAUUUUUCUUCCUUCAAUUGCUGAAAUCAACCUCCAUAAGGCUGGAACAUAUCUGUGUCUUCUUGAGAAAUUCUUCCCUGAUGUUAUCAAGGUAUACUGGAAAGAAAAGAAUGGGCAUACAAUUCUGAAAUCCCAGCAGGGAAAUACCGUGAAGACUAACGACACAUACAUGAAAUUCAGCUGGCUGACCGUGACUGGAAAGUCAAUGGAUAAAGAACACAGAUGUAUUGUCCAACAUGAGAAUAAUCAAAGAGGGAUUGACCAAGAGAUUCUUUUUCCUUCAGUGAACAAAGGUAUACUCAAGCAAGAUUUAAAAAACAAUUUCUCAAAAGAGGAAAGUGACGCCCUGCAGCUGCAGCUCAGCAACACUUUGGCCUGUUACGCCUACCUCCUCCUCCUCAUCAUGAGCGUGGUCUACUCUGCCAUCAUGGCCUUCUGUCUGUUGAGGAGAGCAGCAGUCUGUGGCAACGGAAAGAGUUUGUAA